GACGAACGCUGGCGGCGUGCUUAACACAUGCAAGUCGAGCGGUAAGGCCCUUUCGGGGGUACACGAGCGGCGAACGGGUGAGUAACACGUGGGUGACCUGCCCUCAGCUCUGGGAUAAGCCCGGGAAACUGGGUCUAAUACUGGAUAUGACCUCAUGACGCAUGUUGUGGGGUGGAAAGCCUUGUGCGGCUGAGGAUGGGCCCGCGGCCUAUCAGCUUGUUGGUGGGGUGAUGGCCUACCAAGGCGACGACGGGUAGCCGGCCUGAGAGGGCGACCGGCCACACUGGGACUGAGACACGGCCCAGACUCCUACGGGAGGCAGCAGUGGGGAAUCUUGCGCAAUGGCGAAAGCCUGACGCAGCGACGCCGCGUGAGGGAUGACGGCCU
rnacentral:rRNA from 1 species